rnacentral:rRNA from 1 species
UACGUAGGGUGCGAGCGUUAAUCGGAAUUACUGGGCGUAAAGCGUGCGCAGGCGGUCUGUUAAGACCGAUGUGAAAUCCCCGGGCUCAACCUGGGAAUUGCAUUUGUGACUGCACGGCUAGAGUGUGUCAGAGGGGGGUAGAAUUCCACGUGUAGCAGUGAAAUGCGUAGAGAUGUGGAGGAAUACCGAUGGCGAAGGCAGCCCCCUGGGAUAACACUGACGCCUCAUGCACGAAAGCGUGGGGAGCAAACAGG